rnacentral:lncRNA from 1 species
UUUAUUUUAUUUUUUAACUCCUUUAUAAUGUUUUUUGUAUACAUAUGUAUUUAUACAUAUAUUUUUUAAUUAUUUAAAGGAAAACAAUGAAAUUAUAUUAUGUGUGGCUUACCAUGUAAAUUGACAAUUGAAAAAAGUUCUAUAGAUUUAUCACAGAACAUACUAGAGCUAGUCUAUAAAUUAUUAAAAGGGUCAAGGAUAUAUAAAAAAAACAUAUCCUUAGCAUUGUUUUAUUUUCACUUUUUUUAUUCCUAUCUUUCUUUUUUUUUAUUUAUUAUUGCCAUUUGUUUCUUGCCACCUAUUAUAGCGGUAAUAGGAAAAGAAAAAGCAAAAAAUGACAUCAUACGAUGUUUAAUAUGUAUGUGUGUAUAUAGCUAAAUACAUGCUUACGUACUUGUUACCAUUAUCAUUAUUGCUAUUACAAUUUUUAUUUUAUUUUUAUGUUUGUAGGUUGUUGAUUAUUUAUUGUUUAUUUUUAUAAUAAUACCAGUACUUUCGGUGAUCCUCUUAAACAAUAACAACAAUUCUACAAUAAUGAACGACAUUCCAGAUAAAAAUAUAAAAAAAGAUGCAGUUAUUAAGUCUUUGGUAAAAAAUAAAAAAAUAAAAAAAAUUAAAAAAAUAAAUGAA